AUUGAACGCUGGCGGCAUGCUUUACACAUGCAAGUCGAACGGCAGCGCGGGGCAACCUGGCGGCGAGUGGCGAACGGGUGAGUAAUACAUCGGAACGUACCCAGAAGUGGGGGAUAACGUAGCGAAAGUUACGCUAAUACCGCAUACGUUCUACGGAAGAAAGUGGGGGACCUUCGGGCCUCAUGCUUUUGGAGCGGCCGAUGUCUGAUUAGCUAGUUGGUGAGGUAAAGGCUCACCAAGGCGACGAUCAGUAGCUGGUCUGAGAGGACGACCAGCCACACUGGGACUGAGACACGGCCCAGACUCCUGCGGGAGGCAGCAGUGGGGAAUUUUGGACAAUGGGCGCAAGCCUGAUCCAGCAAUGCCGCGUGAGUGAAGAAGGCCUUCGGGUUGUAAAGCUCUUUUGUCAGGGAAGAAACGGCUGAGGAUAAUACCUUCGGCUAAUGACGGUACCUGAAGAAUAAGCACCGGCUAACUACGUG
rnacentral:rRNA from 1 species